CGCGUAGGUGGGGAUAUAAGUCAGAUGUGAAAGCCUGGAGCUCAACUCCAGAAUUGCAUUUGAAACUAUUUCCCUUGAGGGUAGACGGAGAAGACGGAAUUCCACGUGUAGCGGUGAAAUGCGUAGAUAUGUGGAAGAACACCGGUGGCGAAGGCGGUCUUCUAGUUUAUUCCUGACACUGAGGCGCGAAAGCAAGGGGCGCAAACAGGAUUAGAUACCCUGGUAGUCC
rnacentral:rRNA from 1 species